rnacentral:rRNA from 1 species
CCUACGGGAGGCUGCAGUGGGGAAUAUUGGACAAUGGGGGCAACCCUGAUCCAGCCAUGCCGCGUGUGUGAAGAAGGCCCUCGGGUUGUAAAGCACUUUCAGUGAGGAAGAACGCCUGGUGGUUAAUACCCAUCAGGAAAGACAUCACUCACAGAAGAAGCACCGGCUAACUCCGUGCCAGCAGCCGCGGUAAUACGGAGGGUGCGAGCGUUAAUCGGAAUUACUGGGCGUAAAGCGCGCGUAGGUGGCUUGAUAAGCCGGUUGUGAAAGCCCCGGGCUCAACCUGGGAACGGCAUCCGGAACUGUCAAGCUAGAGUGCAGGAGAGGAAGGUAGAAUUCCCGGUGUAGCGGUGAAAUGCGUAGAGCUCGGGAGGAAUACCAGUGGCGAAGGCGGCCUUCUGGACUGACACUGAGACUGAGGUGCGAAAGCGUGGGUAGCAAACAGGAUUAGAUACCCCAGUAGUC